rnacentral:rRNA from 1 species
ACGGGUGAGUAAUAUAUCGGAACGUGCCCUAGAGUGGGGGAUAACUAGUCGAAAGACUAGCUAAUACCGCAUGCGAUCUAAGGAUAAAAGUGGGGGAUCGCAAGACCUCAUGCUCCUGGAGCGGCCGAUAUCUGAUUAGCUAGUUGGUGGGGUAAAAGCCUACCAAGGCGACGAUCAGUAGCUGGUCUGAGAGGACGACCAGCCACACUGGGACUGAGACACGGCCCAGACUCCUACGGGAGGCAGCAGUGGGGAAUUUUGGACAAUGGGGGCAACCCUGAUCCAGCAAUGCCGCGUGAGUGAAGAAGGCCUUCGGGUUGUAAAGCUCUUUUGUCAGGGAAGAAACGGUGGUAGCUAAUAUCUACUACUAAUGACGGUACCUGAAGAAUAAGCACCGGCUAACUACGUGCCAGCAGCCGCGGUAAUACGUAGGGUGCAAGCGUUAAUCGGAAUUACUGGGCGUAAAGCGUGCGCAGGCGGUUGUGUAAGACAGAUGUGAAAUCCCCGGGCUCAACCUGGGAAUUGCAUUUGUGACUGCACGGCUAGAGUGUGUCAGAGGGGGGUAGAAUUCCACGUGUA